rnacentral:rRNA from 1 species
UAUUGGACAAUGGGCGAAAGCCUGAUCCAGCAAUGCCGCGUGAGUGAUGAAGGCCCUAGGGUUGUAAAGCUCUUUUACCCGGGAAGAUAAUGACUGUACCGGGAGAAUAAGCCCCGGCUAACUCCGUGCCAGCAGCCGCGGUAAUACGGAGGGGCUAGCGUUGUUCGGAAUUACUGGGCGUAAAGCGCACGUAGGCGGCUUUGUAAGUCAGAGGUGAAAGCCUGGAGCUCAACUCCAGAACUGCCUUUGAGACUGCAUCGCUUGAAUCCAGGAGAGGUCAGUGGAAUUCCGAGUGUAGAGGUGAAAUUCGUAGAUAUUCGGAAGAACACCAGUGGCGAAGGCGGCUGACUGGACUGGUAUGACGCUGAGUGCGAA